rnacentral:lncRNA from 1 species
CAAUUGUACAUCAGCUUCCAGCUUUCCUUUACAGAGUGUCUCAGUUGAUCCCAUAUUGCCUCUGAAAGCAUAUCUAGUUCUGCAAAAUCCAGGAGCUUCUUUAGUAGCUUAGAAAUGCAGACUUUUUAUUACAGAUUUUAACAGCCUUUUGAAAAAUCCUAAUCCCCAAUUUGAGUCAGUCAUAAUUAGGUAGAAUUUUUCCAUCUGCAACCAUAUUCACAUUUAUAUUUCCCUCAGGCAAAAUAGUUUGCACAUACAUAUAUUUUUAUUUAUUCUUAAAGAAAAAAGUCAUAAUCUGAGAAAGGGUUUUUUUGUGAAAUAUGGGCUGACUUGACACAUACUUUUUAAAAAGUUGCUCCUUUAAUGGUUAAGAUGCCAAGAAUUAGAAGAGAGAGCUCAUUAUCUUAUCUUUAAAGUUGUGCAUAGCUUUAAAAGAAUAUUUUUUGCCUCAAAUAUGUUUGUUACACAAUUAAAUUGCACUCAAACAAUGUUUGUGUGUGUUUGGUAAAGUUUAACACAACAUCCAGUUGCUCAAUGAUUCUUUUGAAGGAACAGCUAUGGUGAAUGUUGCAUAACCUGUGCUUUUUCCCUCCCCUUAAGUUUUUUUAAUCCUUUGAGUUACUCUUAAAACUAUCUCUACUCAGGCUAAGAAAUGAGCUUCAGAAUCGUUAAGAGCUUGUUUUCUAUGAAAGAAAAAAAUUUUAAGGGCAGCACAUUUGUUUUUAGCUGAUAUUGAAAUUUGAACCAGUGAAUUCCAGGCUUCCCUACUUUCCUAUCAAAUCAGCUUCUCCCACUGCAUGUACUAGUGGUACAUGUAACCCACUGGUUCUCAGCCAGAAAGUUACAUGUACCAUUGGUGAAAGCUCAAACUGGUAAUAAUUGAGUAAUUUUAAAUCUCUCUCAUAGCUCCUUUCUCUGUUUAACAAGACAGAAUGUCAGGAAUUUAUUGAUUUAACCCAAUUUAACUUCCAUUGUUAACAAGGUUUUUAUCUUGUUAAUCAUUGCUUCCGUUUUUUCCCUUAGAGGCCACAAGCUAGGCAGUUCUCCCUUCGUUUCUAAAGGUAUAUAUGAGAUGCUUGGGCUGGUAAACUGGAAUUCCUUGACAGAGUAAACUGGAAUUCCUUGACAGAGUACAGAGUAAAUUGAUUAUAUUAUUUUUUAAAGCUAAGAACAAUGAAUAAAAUAAUUGUGGAUUUAUUUGUUUCA